rnacentral:lncRNA from 1 species
GGUUGUGAAACAAAGGAACCUCAGUAUUGUUCUCUUAAUGAAGUGUCCUAUGAAUACACGGAAGAUUCUGAAACCAGGCUUGACAUGGGGCUUUCUGGUUGUGAAACAAAGGAACCUCAGUAUUGUUCUCUUAAUGAAGUGUCCUAUGAAUACAUGGAAGAUUCUGAGACCAGGCUUGACGUGGGGCUUUCUGGCGCUGAAACAAAGGAACCUCAGUAUUGUUGUCUUAAUGAAGUGUCCUAUGAAUAUAGGGAAAAUUUUGAGACCAAGUUUGAUGUAGGGGUUUCUAGUUGGGAGAUUGUUCAGGUACACAGUCCAGAAAAUAAUGCGUAUUUUGGCUUGUCUGGAUAUAGGGAAG